rnacentral:rRNA from 1 species
GACGAACGCUGGCGGCGUGCUUAACACAUGCAAGUCGAACGGAAAGGCCCUGCUUUUGUGGGGUGCUCGAGUGGCGAACGGGUGAGUAACACGUGAGUAACCUGCCCUUGACUUUGGGAUAACUUCAGGAAACUGGGGCUAAUACCGGAUAGGAGCUCCUGCUGCAUGGUGGGGGUUGGAAAGUUUCGGCGGUUGGGGAUGGACUCGCGGCUUAUCAGCUUGUUGGUGGGGUAGUGGCUUACCAAGGCUUUGACGGGUAGCCGGCCUGAGAGGGUGAACGGGCACAAUGGGACUGAGAUACGGAGCAGACUCCAACGGGAGGCAGCAGUCGGGAGUCUUGCGCAAUAGGCGGAAGCGUGAUGCGGCAGCCCCGGGUGCGGGAUGACGUCCUUCGGGUUGUAAACCGCUUUGGCCGGUGAUGAAGAGGGAGUGACGGUAAUGGGUAAAAAAGCAACGGCUAACUACGUG